UACCAGCACCCCGAGUGGUCGGGACGAUUAUUGGGCCUAAAGCAUCCGUAGCCGGUUUUACAAGUCCUCCGUUAAAUCCACCUGCUCAACAGUUGGGCUGCGGAGGAUACUAUAGAGCUAGGAGGCGGGAGAGGCAAGCGGUACUUAGUGGGUAGGGGUAAAAUCCGUUGAUCCAUUGAAGACCACCAGUGGCGAAGGCGGCUUGCCAGAACGCACUCGACGGUGAGGGAUGAAAGCUGGGGGAGCAAACCGG
rnacentral:rRNA from 1 species